rnacentral:rRNA from 1 species
UACGUAGGGUGCGAGCGUUAAUCGGAAUUACUGGGCGUAAAGCGUGCGCAGGUGGUUUCUUAAGUCUGAUGUGAAAGCCCACGGCUCAACCGUGGAGGGUCAUUGGAAACUGGGGAACUUGAGUGCAGGAGAGAAGAGUGGAAUUCCACGUGUAGCGGUGAAAUGCGUAGAGAUGUGGAGGAACACCAGUGGCGAAGGCGACUCUUUGGCCUAUAACUGACACUGAGGCGCGAAAGCGUGGGGAGCAAACAGG